rnacentral:rRNA from 1 species
GGGCCCGCACAAGCGGAGGAACAUGUGGUUUAAUUCGAUGAUACGCGAGGAACCUUACCCGGGCUUGAAAGUUAGCGACGGACCUUGAAAGAGGUCUUCCCUUCGGGGCGCGAAACUAGGUGCUGCAUGGUUGUCGUCAGCUCGUGCCGUGAGGUGUCGGGUUAAGUCCCAUAACGAGCGCAACCCCUACUGUUAGUUACCAGCAUGUUAAGAUGGGGACUCUAACAGGACUGCCGGUGUAAGCCGAGAGGAAGGUGGGGAUGACGUCAAAUCAGCACGGCCCUUACGUCCGGGGCGACACACGUGUUACAAUGGUCGGUACAGAGGGUCGCUACCUGGUGACAGGAUGCUAAUCUCGAAAGCCGAUCUCAGUUCGGAUUGGAGGCUGAAACUCGCCUCCAUGAAGUUGGAUUCGCUAGUAAUCGCGCAUCAGCCAUGGCG